rnacentral:snRNA from 1 species
GGAGGUAAGGGUGAUCUGGCUGUGACCUCCGUCACCCCACUGAUCAAAGAGUUGAUUCAGCUGAUCCAGAUGGCUAGGAAGGUAUCCCCUUCCUCCCUCAUCACUCCAUGUAAGUCCCUCCCAAAGCUGUGCACUUGGUUGAAGAGGAGCUUCUCUGAUAGAGGACUGUUCAUCAGACAAGGGUAUAUGAGUGGCUGUGCUCCCCUGCUAGAACCUCCCAACAAGCUCUCAAAGCAGAACCAAGUCUAUAUUUUUAAAAGUGCUUAAACUGAAGUGUGGGGAUGAUGAAAGAUAACCAUUUAAGAAAUGUGGAAUAAUAAAUAGCUU